UACGAAGGGGGCUAGCGUUGCUCGGAAUUACUGGGCGUAAAGGGAGCGUAGGCGGACAGUUAAGUCAGUGGUGAAAGCCUGGGGCUCAACCCCAGAAGUGCAUUUGAUACUGCGUAGCUUGAGUGCUAGAGAGGAUAGUAGAAUUGUUGGUGUAGUGGUGAAAUACGUAGAUAUCAACAGGAAUACCGGUGGCGAAGGCGGCUAUCUGGCUAAGCACUGACACUCAGACCCGAAAGCGUGGGGAUCAAAUAGG
rnacentral:rRNA from 1 species